GUCUUAGACUUAUCGCUUAAAGAUGGCCUCGCGUCUGAUUAGCUAGUUGGUGAGGUAACGGCCCACCA
rnacentral:rRNA from 1 species